ensembl:snoRNA
GGUCUAUGAUGAGUUGGCAUGUAUUCUGAAACUAAACUUGAUUAUUACUAUUUUAGCUCUAGAAUUACUCUGAGACCUA